rnacentral:rRNA from 1 species
GGACGAACGCUGGCGGCGUGCCUAACACAUGCAAGUCGAACGGAAGUAAGAGGCUUCGGUUUUGCGUUUAGUGGCGAACGGGUGAGUAACGCGUGAGGAACCUGCCUUUCAGUGGGGGACAACAGUUGGAAACGACUGCUAAUACCGCAUAAUGUUUCCGGUCCGCAUGGACUGGAAACCAAAGCUUUAUGUGCUGAAAGAUGGCCUCGCGUCUGAUUAGAUAGUUGGUGGGGUAACGGCCUACCAAGUCAACGAUCAGUAGCCGGUCUGAGAGGAUGAACGGCCACAUUGGGACUGAGAUACGGCCCAG